AACCUUUACACUGCACGCAAGUGCGAUAGGGGAAUCCCAAGUGCGAGGGCAUAUUAGCCCUCGCUUUUGUUGACUGUAAGGAGGUCAACGAAUAAGAGCUGGGCAAGACCGGUGCCAGCCGCCGCGGUAAUACCGGCAGCUCGAGUGAUGUCCAAUAUUAUUGGGCCUAAAGCGUCCGUAGCUGGCCAGCCAAGUUCGUCGGGAAAUCCACCUGCCCAACAGGUGGGCGUCCGGCGAAAACUGUCUGGCUUGGAACCGGAAGGCUCAGAGGGUACGUCCGGGGUAGGAGUGAAAUCCUGUAAUCCCGGACGGACCACCGAUGGCGAAAGCACUCUGAGAAGACGGAUUCGACAGUGAGGGACGAAAGCUAGGGUCUCGAACCGGAUUAGAUACCCGGGUAGUCCUAGCUGUAAACGAUGCUCGUUAGAUGUGGCACCCACUACGAGUGGGUGCUGUGUCGUAGGGAAGCCGCUAAACGAGCCGCCUGGGAAGUACGUCCGCAAGGAUGAAACUUAAAGGAAUUGGCGGGGGAGCACUACAACCGGAGGAGCCUGCGGUUUAAUUGGACUCAACGCCGGACAUCUCACCAGCCCCGACAUCAGUAAUGACGGUCAUGUUGACGACAUCUGCCCGAGCUGAUGAGAGGAGGUGCAUGGCCGCCGUCAGCUCGUACCGUGAGGCGUCCUGUUAAGUCAGGCAACGAGCGAGACCCACGUUCCUAAUUGCCAGCAUCAGCGCACGCUGGGUGGGUACAUUAGGAAGACUGCCGCUGCUAAAGCGGAGGAAGGAAUGGGCAACGGUAGGUCAGUAUGCCCCGAAUGGGCUGGGCAACACGCGGGCUACAAUGGUCAGGACAAUGGGUUCCAACCUCGAGAGAGGACGGUAAUCUCAGAAACCUGGUCGUAGUUCGGAUUGCGGACUGAAACUCGUCCGCAUGAAGCUGGAUUCGGUAGUAAUCGCGUUUCAGAAGAGCGCGGUGAAUACGUCCCUGCUCCUUGCACACACCGCCCGUCAAAGCACCCGAGUGAGGUCCGGAUGAGGCCACAUUACUGUGGUCGA
rnacentral:rRNA from 1 species